GGCGACGUAGCCAAGUGGUUAAGGCAGGGGUCUGCAAAAUCCCGAUCGCCGGUUCAAUUCCGGCCGUCGCCUC
rnacentral:tRNA from 1 species